rnacentral:rRNA from 1 species
CCAAAGAGAGUGGGUGGAUUAGGAUUCAGGGACCUCCAUGCUUUCAAUAUGGCCAUGCUUGCUAAACAAGCAUGGCGACUGCUUCAGAAUCCGUCCUCACUAUGCGCCAAAGUACUACAGGCCAAAUAUCAUCCAGGGAACAGCAUAAUCGAAGCGACUCCAAAAAAGGGAAUUUCGUAUUCAUGGCGUAGUAUUUUGAAAGGCGUG